rnacentral:rRNA from 1 species
AUCUGCAGUCAUACCACCCUGGAUGCUACAGAUUUCAUCUGAUCUUGGAGCUAAGCAGGGUAGGGCCUGAUUAGCACUUGGGUGGAAGACACAUUUUUAAGACAACAAAUU